rnacentral:rRNA from 1 species
UGGGGAAUAACCAGUCGAAAGAUUGGCUAAUGCCGCAUACGACCUUUAUUUCGCAUUGUAAUUUGGUGAAAGCGGGGGAUCGUAAGACCUCGCGCUAAUAGAUGAGCCGAAGUCGGAUUAGCUAGUUGGUGAGGUAACGGCUCACCAAGGCGACAAUCCGUAGCUGGUCUGAGAGGACGACCAGCCACACUGGGACUGAGACACGGCCCAG